GGGGGUAUAGCUCAGUUGGUAGAGCGUCUCGUUCGCAAUGAGAAGGCCAGGGGUUCGAAUCCCCUUACCUCCACCA
rnacentral:tRNA from 4 species